rnacentral:tRNA from 1 species
GAGUUCGUGGUGUAACGGUAGCACACUCGGCGCGUAUUCGAAAGGUCCAGGUUCGAAUCCCGGCGAGGGCA